GCUGAGUUUUUCUCCAGCGGUUCAUCGAGUCCUCUGACAAAGCAAGGAGCCGAUAUAGGGCCAGUGGGACGGUCGCCAGUCAAGGGGCUGGGCUUGGUGGAAAGAUUAAUACUCACUGGACGUCCAGUCGAAACGCCCUGAAACCUAUGAUGCUGUCGACCAAACGAAGGCCUGGAAUACCAAAAUAGCCACAUAGGUACUUGCUGGACUUGAAACAGAUGGAAGGUGAGCUCUGCCUAGGACACGCCCAGCCUCAGCUGGAGGAGAAGCUGCCUCUUUCUCAGCCUGAGCCCCCUGCUGGCUCUGUAGGACUCAGGUCACUCCUUUUUGGCCCCUCCCCUGUUCUCCCCCGGCCUCCUGGGGUGCAGAGCCACCCUGAGAUGGGGUCCUGCCCUCUCCCGCCAUCUUUUCACCCCCUCUCUAGCCCUGGUCUAGGUGAGCUCCUGCCUGGUCCUGCCUCCUGGGUAAUGUAUCAGCCUCGCCCACUGUCUGCGGCUGCCUCUCUGGGCCCCUGGGACAGACCCCACUGUGUCCAGUUCAGGGCUGACCCUGCAGGAAUGAACUGGGGUCUGGUCUUGUGAUUCCAGAAUAAGAUGGAGUCUCGCUCUGUCACCAGGCUGGAGUGCAGUGGCACAAUCUCAGCUCACUGCAACCUCGACCUCCUGGGUUCAAGCGAUUCUCCUGGCUCAGCCCCCCGACAUUUUUUAAAAUUUAUUUAUUUUCUUAGAGAUGGGGUCUUGCCAUGUUGCCCAGUUGGUCUCAAACCCCUGGGCUAAGAUAAUCCUCCCACCUCAGCCUCCCAAAGAGCUG
rnacentral:lncRNA from 1 species